AAUUACCCACUCCCAGCACGGGGAGGUAGUGACGAAAAAUAACGAUACGGGACUCAUCCGAGGCCCCGUAAUCGGAAUGAGUACACUUUAAAACUUUUCCCGAGGAUCAAUUGGAGGGUAAGUCUGGUGCCAGCAGCCGCGGUAAUUCCAGCUCCAAUAGCGUAUAUUAAAGUUGUUGCGGUUAAAAAGCUCGUAGUCGAAUCUGUGUCCCGCGCCGCUGGUUCAUCGCUCGCGGUGUUCAACUGGCGUGUCUCGCGGGACGUCCUGCCGGUGGGCGCUCGUCCGUUUCGGCGGUCGUGGCCCAACUCGCUUCCGUCUCGCGCGGUUGUGAAUCCCAUCGCGGUGCUCUUUAUUGAGUGUCGAGGUGGGCCGGCACGUUUACUUUGAACAAAUUAGAGUGCUUAAAGCAGGCCAAUUUUGCCUGAAUAUUGUGUGCAUGGAAUAAUGGAAUAGGACCUCGGUUCUAUUUUGUUGGUUUUCGGAACCCCGAGGUAAUGAUUAAUAGGAACGGAUGGGGGCAUUCGUAUUGCGACGUUAGAGGUGAAAUUCUUGGAUCGUCGCAAGACGGACAGAAGCGAAAGCAUUUGCCAAAAACGCUUUCAUUGAUCAAGAACGAAAGUUAGAGGUUCGAAGGCGAUCAGAUACCGCCCUAGUUCUAACCAUAAACGAUGCCAGCUAGCGAUCCGCCGACGUUCCUCCGAUGACUCGGCGGGCAGCUUCCGGGAAACCAAAGCUUUUGGGUUCCGGGGGAAGUAUGGUUGCAAAGCUGAAACUUAAAGGAAUUGACGGAAGGGCACCACCAGGAGUGGAGCCUGCGGCUUAAUUUGACUCAACACGGGACACCUCACCAGGCCCGGACACCGGAAGGAUUGACAGAUUGAGAGCUCUUUCUUGAUUCGGUGGGUGGUGGUGCAUGGCCGUU
rnacentral:rRNA from 1 species